rnacentral:rRNA from 1 species
AGACUGCCAGCAGCGCGAGGCGUGAAGGCGGCCGGCUCGUGGGCGGGGGCCCAGGUCCGGAGGAAGGUGGCUCCUUGCGGCGGAGGUUCCCUAGGAGGAGACUGAGGUGCCAGCGGCGGCAGCAGGAGGAGGAGGUGCCGAAGAGGCGAGGCGACCUGGCGGCUAGGCAGGCCUGCCCCCGACCACUGCUUGGGAUUGAACGAACAUGACAGGCCUACCAAAACUAGAGCAUAAAAGAAAGGAAAGACACUCGACACUCCUCAAAUUAGGUAGAUCGAAGUACGCCUAAGCAAGCGACGAACAACUCGACUAGUAUCGACACCCAAGGAAAAGGCCUUCUUUUUCUUCUCCUUUAAAACCCCAAGGUCAGGUCGGGUUGGGGUACCGUGAGAAACCCACACGCCAGCCUCCUGUAGAGACCCAAAAGAACGCUUGUGAAGAUGAAUACCUUUCUACGUUUUUUAAGCACGCUGACAACGAAUUAAUUGACACAAUUAAGAACCUUUAAAUACUAGUUCAUGAAUAAACUCAUACUUAUAUAUAGUAUAUAGUCGGACAUGUCAUGGUUAAAGUUCGUUUACCAUCAAUUAACCAUGGGUCACGAUUGUGUUACAAAACAAAGAACACGACCACACUGACACUUGUCCAGUGCCGGCCUUUGACAUUUUCAAUUAACACCAAACAAUCCUAAGACCCUCCGCCGUUGUACGGGAUGAAGGGUCUACUUCACCACCUCGUGUAGGAACCGAAGUAUAGCAGCGUGGCACUGGCGCUACGACGUAGAGAGCACACAGUGCGCACCAUGGCGUAGCUCCCGGAGUGAGCGGCGAGGCACAAGUAAAGGUUGACGAUACGGCACGCGGGUCUCGCACACGUGCGCGCAAAGGGGACGGACGCGAGCGACUGGCACUUCCCGUUCGGUGCGAAACGACUGAAGUUGGAACAGGGACGCCCCACCCCACGGAGUCGCCUCGGUACCCACCUACGCACACGGGCACGCACGGGACCGGAACUUCUCGAGGCGGACUUCGCCUACCAACAGUGACUACCAACGGAGUUAGUGGAACGAGUGAGUAAAGGGUUAAACUCUAGUGAUCAGGAACAAUCGACACUCCCCAAGUCGUGACUACCGGAACGAUGAUAACGGUGGUUAACGUCCAAAGACUUCCUUGAACUGAAUGUUCCCUCAGUCCACCUCAAAGCUCCGGCAGUAACCAAAUCAACAAAGGGGUUCGGAAGCUGUAGUAAUCUUAGGAACUUAAAACGAACGAACCUACCUCGUCACUCACGAUUACGUAACCUUUCAGAACAACGUUCCUCAGGUUUAGAAUUUUCGAAUUCCAAUUUAGCACGUCAAGGUGGUCGACAAAAUCGGUUUUAAGAAUGAAGGCGAGGAUUCGACCACCUAAAUCCAUGUCCUAACCAACGAGUUUCGUUAUUACGACCACGUGAGGGGUCAGAGAUGUCACGAUAAGUUGUUACGUCAAGAGACUUAUCAAAUAGACCGAAAACCCUAAGAGGUGCAACCUAAUGAGGUUAUUAUGUUAUAUAAACGUUCUUGGAUUGUACGAACUUGGAAUCGAUACGAGGUUACAAAGCCUGUCAACUAGAAUAACCUUAAUAAGCGGUUACAGUCUUAGAGGCUGUGAACACCCAUGAUCUAGUGUAACCACUACGUCCUAAUUUCCAACAUCGGAGAAGAACGGACCUCGACGUUCUCAACUCCCAUAAAGGACGCUUACGUUUACACAAUUAUUCGUGACCACACUGUCUCCUUCCCGACCAACGUCAUAGAAGUCCGACAGCCUUCGAUUUGAGACAAGAGAUAAGGACGGCAGCUUACUGAUUAAGACGAGACUAGUGCCACCGUUUCUUGACGAGCGCUUAGUGCAGGAAGUCUGACGUAUAGACGGACGUACCCAGUCAUCUACGGCACUGUCCGGUCGGUGACCUGCUCCCAAAACCCCGUUAGCAGGCCAGUACGUUCCCGGAGUCCGCGAAUAGAUACAGACCGGAAGAGUGCCUGUCACACAAGGACAUGUAGCCGUACAUGCGGCUCUCCGACCUCUGCGAGAGACAGAGCAAACGUCCUCUAUCACUACUACCGUACUAGAUACACGAGUUACCGACGUUCUUAGAGUCCUUCGACCUCUAGUCCUUGACGGGUAAACCGUUGUGGCGCGAAGAGCGUCCGUACGUGGCCAUGCUCCGUUACGCGAGCGAAACCUACAGCAGCACGCUGUAGUGGGACCCACCGACGUCCAGGGAGCGCCGUCGGUACGGUCCGGAGUUGCAGCUCCAGUAGUCGGUCCGCCUACCUCCGCGGUUGCUACGUUUCUUCCACCUCUUCGACAUACAGAUGUCCUGUGAGCGGCCGGGUUCCCAACUACGGGGACCUAAGCAGAGCCGUGACAUUUAAUGAAUAUGGCAGCAUCAACGACCCAAAAGGAUCUGGGACGAUAAACACACUUGAAUUAAGCCACGACAGCGUGAAAAUACGAUGCAGACGAUGAGACUUCGCCCGUGGUCAGAACACUUAAACCAAUCAGAAGGCUUCGCGAUAAACACACCGGUUGUGUCGUAUUAUAUACCUAGAUCCGGAAUAAAGGUUCCAACGUGACGCCAUAUCGACUUGACAAACACUGCGUUGCUCGACUAGACAAGACAAUGACACACGAACCAAUGACUUGGUUCACCUUGCCUUACGAUAAAAAUAAAAAAUAAAAGAAAUAAUCUUCUUCACCUUGCGUUA